AUGCAACUGACGAGUCUAAAACAGGACGAAAUGUGCAUCCUGGUU
rnacentral:hammerhead_ribozyme from 1 species